GACGAACGCUGGCGGCGUGCCUAAUACAUGCAAGUUGAGCGCUGAAGGUUGGUACUUGUACCGACUGGAUGAGCAGCGAACGGGUGAGUAACGCGUGGGGAAUCUGCCUUUGAGCGGGGGACAACAUUUGGAAACGAAUGCUAAUACCGCAUAAAAACUUUAAACACAAGUUUUAAGUUUGAAAGAUGCAAUUGCAUCACUCAAAGAUGAUCCCGCGUUGUAUUAGCUAGUUGGUGAGGUAAAGGCUCACCAAGGCGAUGAUACAUAGCCGACCUGAGAGGGUGAUCGGCCAGAUUGGGACUGAGACACGGCCCAAACUCCUACGGGAGGGAGCAGUAGGGGAUCUUCGGCAAUGGACGAAAGUCUGACCGGGCAACGCCGCGUGAGUGAAGAAGGUUUUCGGAUCGUAAAACUCUGUUGGUAGAGAAGAACGUUGGUGAGAGUGGAAAGCUCAUCAAGUGACGUUAACUAGCCAGAAAGGGACGGCUAACUACGUG
rnacentral:rRNA from 1 species